UACAGGGGGGGCAAGCGUUGUUCGGAAUUACUGGGCGUAAAGGGCUCGUAGGCGGCCAACUAAGUCACACGUGAAAUCCCCAGGCUUAACCUGGGAACUGCGUGUGAUACUGGAUGGCUUGAAUUCGGGAGAGGGAUGCAGAAUUCCAGGUGUAGCGGUGAAAUGCGUAGAUAUCUGGAGGAAUACCGGUGGCGAAGGCGGCAUCCUGGACCGGUAUUGACGCUGAGGCGCGAAAGCUAGGGGAGCAAACGGG
rnacentral:rRNA from 1 species